GGUCAGGUAGCUCAGUUGGUAGAGCAAGGGACUGAAAAUCCCUGUGUCGGCGGUUCAAGUCCGCCCCUGACCA
rnacentral:tRNA from 1 species